UCAUGGCGAAAUGGGAUGAACCAUACGUCUGAAUAAGGUGCCGAAAUGUACUAUCACUGAUACCAUAAAGGGAGUCCAUGUAUUUAGACAGCAGGUCGGUGCCCCUAAAAGCAGGUAUCCGCUAAAGAGUGUGUUAAAACUCACCUGCCGAAUACUAGGGCCCCGAAAAUGAAUGGCGCAUAUAGUACUACCGAUCUCAGACAUCAGUUCUAUUGAACUGAGAGUAGGGGGAUGUGGACAUUUUUGUGAAGGUGCAAUGUGAGUUGGACUGGAAGAAUGUCUAUUACAGAUCCUAAUUGAAGUAGCGAUUAUCCAGGCUUGUAUCCUGGGGGCUGAUGAGGAGUAGGGUUUCUGGACAACUUAAACAGAUCCAGAGUUAGUCGAUCCUAAUCUCAAUAAUGGGAGAAAGGGAGUACAGUUGAUAUUCUGUAACUGACAACAGUUCGCGGCAACGCAUACUAUUUUUCUCCGCCAAUCUUAUACCGUUGGUAGGGAUCUCUUUCCUACAUGACAGUACUAAUACCCAGGGAAACUGGUCAUCAGGCGAACUGCGGCGUUCUGCUGGCAAAACAUAGCUUCGGUUAUGUCAAUGGCUAUUGGAUUGGUCCAUGAAGCGAAAAAUAGUUUACUGUGUCACUCGUACCGAUAACCGCAUCAGGUCUUCUAGGUAAGUAGCCUAUGGCCAUUGAGGCAUGAUAGUUCAGGGAAUUCGGCCAAUUAGAGCUGUAACUUCGGGAUAAAGCUUGGCUCUGAUGAAAAUCAGAACCGAUUGUUACGCGGAGAGCCCAACUGUUUAAUAAAAACGUAGUGUCGCGCUGUGGUAGUAUAGCCAGUGAACGCGACAUGAAUCCUGCUCAGUGCUGUGUCUGUUAAUAUGGUUCAAGCCAACGAAGCACCGGUAAAUAGCUGGGGUAACUAUGACUCUUAUCAAAGUAGCGAAAUACCUCGUCACUUAAUUAGUGACCUGCAUGAACGGAGCUAUGAUGUUCUCACUGUCCCAAACUGUCUCUCAGCGAACCAACUGUAGUGGGAACGGUCACUAGAUAUCCUAGCGGGGAAA
rnacentral:ncRNA from 2 species